UGCGGGGAAAAUGCCGAGUUGUCUUUUGAGAAACAAUGUUACUCGGGCUGCCAUGAUGAUCUCAUCAUGGUAGUAUCAUCCUGGCGCUGUCAUCGUCAAGUUGUAUAGCUUGAUUAGAAUCAAAAGCAUUGCAUUACGUUAUGUAUCGCGAUGAUGGUGAACCAUUUUGAACCAGAACAAAAUCCUUUAAGAAACAAAAAAACAAUAAGGAAGGCAGUUUAUUUUGUUGGAUCUGAUGGUCAUUGUCGUACAAUCGCGAAUGUUGAAUUGCUCUGCUUUCGUUACUCCUUCGUGGGUAGCAUACCAAACUACUUUCGUAGUAGUAAAUCACUAG
rnacentral:misc_RNA from 1 species